rnacentral:ncRNA from 1 species
ACAAUUGUGCCUAUAAUCCUCUCUUCUAGGAUUCUUACCCUUUCCUUAAAAAGAUUAUAGGCAUAAAAAA